UUUUUUUUUUUUUUUUUGUCUUUUUGUCUUUUGUCUUUUUAGGGCAUAUGGAGGUUCCCAGGCUAGGGGUCUGAUCGGAACUACAGCUGCCGGCCUACACCACAGACAGCAAUGCCAGAUCUAAGCCGUGUCUGCAACCCAUACCACAGCCCAUGGCAACGCCAGAUCCAUAACCCACUGAGCAAGGCCAGGAAUCCAAUCCACAUCCUCAUGGUACUGAGUCAGAUUCGUUUCCGCUGCACCACCGCGGGAACUCCCCAAUAUUACAUUUCUUUAUGAUUUUUUGCAUUAGUUAUGCAGGCCCACUCUGAGAAGGAGGUUUUUGUGGUGAGCACCACUCCCAACACCAGAACCAGGCGUCAUGAUGGCAUUUGCCUUAGGGAUGUGUCAGAUCUAGCCUCUGAAACAUGAGGCAGCUUGGUUUAGUUCUGGUCUUGAGCAUGUGCAGAAAUAACAGGAGAAAACACCUGGCAUGCCACCGACAUGGAACUGUGGCUGGUUAGUUAUGUCUGGAGUCCAGGGCUGAGGGUGUAGAGAUGCAGAGAAGGGGUGGGAAAUUAGAACUGAGACAUGAGCCAGGAGGUAGGUCCUAAUGAACUAGUAUACAAGCUCAGGGGCUUAAACUUCAUCCUGAAGGUUACAGAGAAUCAUUAGAAUUGCAGCCCUGGGAUUGACAUGAUCAGAUGCAUUAAAAAUAAUUAGGAACAGUUUUUUACUUAGGCAGUAAUAUACAGUAUGAAUUAUAAGGGGGUUAAAGUAAGAGGUUGUUGAAGUUUCUAAGUGAAAUAGGAGCAUCCCGUGGCAGAGAAGAGGACAAAUUCAAGAGGGACAGAUGAUCCCUACAAAGUAGAGAGUAAGGAAAAGAAAGGCGUAGAGGAUGACUCCCAGGAUCUCUGGUUGAUGACUGCAUCCCCAGUGGUGUCACUGGUGAGGGAGCUUAGAAUGAAAGACAAGUUAGAGAGGAAAUAGAAUGAAUCGAUCUGGAGCAGGCUGAGUUUGAGAUGCUCGUGGUUGGAGAUGUGAGUCCUGCCUCUAACCCGGAUGCCAUUACAGGUCUGUGUUGAUCACAGGGCACAGUGAGGGUCUACUCUAACUCUGUUAACUAUGCAGAAGAAUUCAAGACCAGAGACCCAUUGGGGCAGCAUCUUGCACUGGGAGGCCCAGCAGCUAAUCAAGCACACAGCUUCCUUUGCCCCCUCCUUCAUGUAGAGUGUCCACACGGAUGUGUGAAGCUCAGGGGUGUGUGGGUCACCUCAACACAGGGAAGGUGAGCCUUGUGUUCUGGUUUCUCUUUAUUCCAUUCUAGCCAUGCAGGACCAAAGCAUACAAGCCAGUUCACAGCCCCAACCCAGUGGUAGGCCUCUACCAUAUAGGAGCCAAUGCAACUUCCCACAUUAUCUUAAUACUGUAAUUACCAAGGAAGCAGUGACCCAGAGAUGGUUUUCAGGGAGGCCAGCAUUAGUCCUUUGCUCAUACCCACCACAAGUGGUUAAGCAAUAACAAUUACUAAAAUGCCUAAAAGGCACGUAAACCAGUGACAGAAAUGCAUGUUUUGGAGUCAGAGACUUGGGUUCACAUUCUUGCUGCACUACAAAAGCUGCGUGACUUUGGUGAAUGAAAUGUUUUUUUAAAAUAUUAGUGUCUUUAUCUUUAGAACAGCUUAAUCAUGCCUACCGCCCAGCGCCCCCGUGCAUACCAACCAUGACCAUGGGUAAAACGUGCAGAGUGUGUGGUAGAUUCUCAAUAAACGUCAGCUCCUUUUUUUCUAGAGAAGAAAAUGAUUUUGAUAUCAAAGAUGGAGAUAAGAAAGAGACAAAAGGAGAUAAGACAGUAACUGAACCUCCUCAGGAUGAAAACUACCUCAAACACCAUUAUGCUCUUCGUGCUCUUUGCAGUGUCUGAUAUACAGAUGGGAAUAUGGGGGCAAUGAUUGUUUUCUUCCCUCCAGACUGUCCAAAUAAAGUUAAUUUUCUUUUUCCCAAAGCCAAGCAAUCAAAGAAAUAAAGGUGCCAACCUGGUAAGACCUGGAAAUUAGAAAUUAAAAUGCCUUCCUCACUGCAUUUGUUUCAGACUAUUAAUCGUUUUUUUCUGUUGUCCAUGACAGAAAUGAAGCCUAUGUGGGUUGAUGGUAAAUACAGCUCAGCCUCUAGAGGAUCACAGAGAAGGAGGCUUGUUGUGAAACUGAGUCAGAAGGAUGCUCUUAUAGCAGACUUUCAAGACAACCCUUAGCCCGGGAUAACAACCAGAGGAUGACUGGCCUGAGAACUUGGUAUUCCAGAAAGCAGAAUUCAGGUACACAAGAGAUCAUGAUUCCCUUGAUUCCUCCUCACCCUUUUCACACUCUCUACCUCUUUCUCCCACUCCCUCUCAGCUUCUCUCUCUCUCUCUCUCUCUCUCUCUCUCUCUCUCUCUCUCUCUCUCUCUCUCCCCCUCUCUCUCUCCCUCUCCCCCUCCCUCCCUCCCUCCCUCUCUCUCUCUCUCGGUGCCCAGGGGCAGAGACAACAAUCCGGCCUAAGCAAUCUGGACUCAAGUUGGUAGGGUCAGUAUUUUGGCGGCCAGGGCUUAAUCUGGUUGUGUCAUUGUUUGAAGACUGUCAUUCUCAAGAAUCACACAAACCCUGACAGGACUGGAAGGUCGGUCUUAGGGAAAAUGCCUGAAGUUAGGAUUUACCCAUGGGGCCCAUAUUUUACCCAGUAAGCCAUGUGCUAGAAACGUUUCAAUUGGGAGGACACGCUAGGUGGAGUACCUAUGUCUCUGUCUUGGGGUAUGGCUCCUGGGUGCUCCACACACCACGAACUCACAUCCAAGGCAGGAAGAGGCAUCCCUUCAGAGAAUGUGGCCAGAGGGAACUGAGUGGCUGGAGGCCCGCAUGAACGGGUGGUCAGGAAGGAAGGGUCUGGAGACCAGGGAGCAUGAGAGGCUGGCUGGUCCACGGAGUUGGCCCUUGAUGGCUCAGGAUGGCCUCCAGUGAAUCACCUGUGAGUGAGGUCUUCUUCUCUGCUCAGGGUGGAGGGGAACAAGUCAAUGGAGGAAGAGAGUUAGCUUUGGGAUGAAAGGCCCAAGGCCAUGCGUGAGGGCCAGGAAGACUGGUGGUCUUUCCCUAGCAAAACGUCUUCUUGGUUUCACGACAGUUUCUACAGGCACCUUUCAGAAACAUCUACAAAAAGAAACACACUAGUGCCUAUGGGCACUCACAGAGACACACGAGGCCAGGUCCACCACACUCACUGCAGUUCGGUCUUGGGUCGUGAGGCAGCAAAGCACGGGUUCAGUGUGGGAGGAAAGAACAUGUAUUUCAAAGAUUUCCAAGACAGGGAUCAGAUCCAUUAGAGUCUCCUGACCUGGUAGUAACAGGGACGUGUCCUCCCUCUGAAGGCUCAGGAAAGGAGAAGUUGCCAGGCAAGAUGGGAUUUUUAUUAUGGCCAUCUGGGUUGAAGAGAUACUGAGAGAGGGCAUAUUGCAGUGGAUCGUUGUGCAUUUUGAAACAGUCCUGUCCCCUUUAGAGACCUGAGGCAAGGAACCUUCAUCAGGCAGCAGCCACAGCAAAGAGGAGGAGAGAUCGAGUGAGCAGGAGACAGAGCAGUGACAGAGAGGGGCAGGGAGGCGGCAACACAGACACAGGCAUCAACAGGUAGAUGGAGAGAAUCAGAGCCAGAGACAGAAAGACCGACAGAGAAUCUGGCAGGAUGGAUGGGAAGGGUGACGAUGAAGAAAAUAAGCGGGGGGAGGAAGAAGGGGAGAAAAACUAUUAGCGAUCUCAUGCGUACAUUGGGAAUGCAAACAUUGUCUCCUCCUCUGUCAUCAUUGGUCUUGAGUUUUGACACCAGGAAGGGGACUAACAAAAGGAACGAUAUCUUCACGGAGGCGGCUUGUAUAUUCUGGAACUGUACCUUCUAUGGGGAGACCCGGCCCUUGGGUUCAUAGCUUGUUCCCCUGGGGGCUGAAUGGACUUGGGUCAUAAGGGAAGUUUGUGAUACUUCCAUCAGGCGUGGUUCGCCCUAGCUCGCUAUGUGCUGCUUCUCCCCGUUUUUGAAAAGAAGGCAUCUUCAUGCCACAUCAGGCUUCGCCUCAAAGGAGAACACAUUUGGAGUGCCUUUCAAGUGAUGCAAACUCCCUGUACCAAACCAGUGCACAGAGUUCAUUGGGCAGCACUUUGGCUCAUUUUCCUAGGUAUAGGACAGGCCUAGAUGGGAAAAAGGCAAGGUUUGGUCUCCGAAGUAAACCCGCACUGGGGCUGGUGUUCACUCACUGAAUAGGAUACACUUUGCAAGGAGAAACGUUGCACAUUCAUCUUUUGUGGAGUUUGUGAGAUUUCCGUCCGGCGUGGAUUGCCCUAGGUCACUGUGUGCUGCUUUUUCCCGCUUGUGAAAAGAAGGCGUUUUCAUGCCACAUCAGGCUUCUCCUCAAAGGAGAACACGUUUGGAGUGCCUUUCAAGCGAUGCAAACUCCCUGCACCAAACCAGUGCACAGAGAGCACCUUGGCUCAUUUGCCGUAUGUAUAGGAGUGGCCUAGGUUGGAAAAAGGCAAGGGUUGCUUUCCCGAGCAAACCCGCACUGGGGCUGGUGUUCGUUCACUGAGACAGGAGCUCCUGAGUGUUACAGCUCUUAAAGUCACCUCUUGACCAGGUCAAAAUGACAACGGUCUUCUACCACCUGGCUUUCUUCAGGAAGUGAUAAAAUAUCCCAACCCAACCAGCUCCUGCCCCAGGCAUCCUGUCAGGCCCUAUUGGCCAGAAUAGGGUAAGAUGCUCUCCACACCCCCAGCCACUCCUAACAAAGAGGAAGGGGAGGACCGGGAUGGAUUUCCUGCAGUCACGAUGCAUUCCCAGGUAGCCCAUUGAUUGCAUCAGGAGACCCGAACAGUUCACAUUUUAUUCAUGAGUAUUACUGUGGUUCCGGGUAGAAGAAAUGGCUGCUGGGAAAAUACCAACAAUGUUUGUAAGGACAGUCACGGACCAAAAGUCCGCAGAGGGUAUGGAUUGUCCUUGGAGCUGAAGAAGUCACGGAAGAUAGGGAGUUCCCAUUGUGGGACAGCAGAAGUGAAUCCGAGCAUCAUCCGUGAGAAUUUGGGUUCGAUCCCUGGCCUCACCAGUGGGUCAGGGAUCCAGUGUUGCUGUGAGCUGUGGAGUAGGUUGCAGAUGCAGCUUGGAUCCUGCAUUGCUGGCCCUGUGGUGUAGGCUGGCUGCUGCAGCUCCUAUUAGAGCUCUGGUCUGGGAAGGUCCAUGUACCACGGCUGUGGCCUAAAAAAACAGUUACAGAAAAUAAAGACAGGGGUGCAGUGGUGCCGGCAGCACAUGGGACUAAAGUCUUCAGUGAUGAGCACAACGACAGAGAAGGGACAAAUGACUGCCCAGGAGGAGUGAUGAGGCUGUGUCUAGGAAGGCCACAACCACCUUACCAGACGGGCGGCCUGCUCCCUCUGUUGCCCUGGACCCUCGGGUGUGAGGACCGAUCCUCUGCUCAGAGUCCAGCCUCCUCUGUCCUCCUUGCUUCAUUCUACCUGCAGCCCACCCAUCUUUCUUUGGAUCUGCCUUUCUUUGAGAAGUUAUCCUCUGUAUUGGCUAUCAGGUGGCAGAACCUGUGGACCCAAAAGGAGCAGUUGCACUGGCAGGGACUAGGUGGACCUCGGGUCGCCAUGGAAAACUCUUGGUGGAGCACAGGCAAGAGUUGGGGCGGGAGGACCUGCACCCCAUAAGAAAUACCCACCAGCUCUCAGAUCCUCGAGGGUUGUAGGAGCACCGAGACAUUCAAGCUGGGAAAUGAAGACUGUGAUAGGGCAGAGCGAGACCCAAGCUUCCCCGGGCAAUGGCAGCGUGAGCUCCUGUCCAACUGCCAAAAGAUGAGAGUUGGCAUCUUACCAGAAGGUUUGGAGGGAUAGGAUGAGAGACGCCUGGCCAUUGGCCGGAAGCGCAUGGCGGGGGAGGGGGUUGCGGAAGCUGCCUCGUGAUUGGCCCGGGCCACGGGGAUGUCACAGGGAGGCAUUGUGACUUGAGGGCAAGGCAGUUAUAAAAGCCCAGUGCUUCCACCGUCUCCCAGACGGAGGAUAUGGCUUUUCAGCUGUUCCUGCUCUUGCUCUUCAAGGCGGUGUCCUCUGCCGCCUUCUCUGCACCUGCACAUGGCAUGCCCCAGGCCCACCUGUCCUGCCCCGGGCCUCUCACCCACACUUGGUGUACCACAUUCCUGUUCGCAUCCAGCUUUGAGCCCCUUUGCGGGCGGAUGAGCCUGCGCACCCGCACCCGGCGCCUCCUCCACCCGCAGCCCUCCUCGGGCCUGGCCCAGCUCCUCAACACUGUGCUCAGGUUCUACAACAGGGGCUUGGACGUCUGGAACCAGAACCAAGCAGACCCCCACGCGGAGGGGAAGCAGCCCUCCCAGCCCUGUUGGCCAAGAGACCUGGACACGUGCCACGCCUCCAACUCCACACUGCACAGAAGGCAGCUGGCCACCCCUCCUCAGACAUCCAUGGACCCCAGAUCCAAGAUCUCCACCUUGGCCCUCCUGCUCCACAAAGGAGAGUCACAGACUCACAGGGCGAGUUCCUGUACCUCCUGCCCACCUCCAUGCAACCUCUCAAAGGGCUCUCCAGCCCAUGUGGGACCACCAGCCUGGGUGAGGCGACUGGUCCAGUUAGGGCCACCAGUCCUGGCAGGGCCAAAAGUCCAGGCAAGGCGACCAGCCCAGGUGGGACCACCAGCCCAGGUGAGGACACCAGCCCAGGAAGGACCAGCAGCCCAGAUGGGACCAGUGGCCCUGGUGAUGCUACCACCACAGGUGGGACCAACAGCCCAUGUGGGGACGUUUCCCCAGGCAGGAGCAACAGCCCAAGUGGGGCCACCAAGCCUUGCGGGACCAAUGGCCCCAAUAGGGACAGCAGCCCAGGUGAUGGGGCCACUAGACCAGGCCACGACUCCAGCUGAUGCCAGGCUACCAGCCCAGGCAGGCCCAGCAUACCAGGUGGGGCCACCACUCCAGGCAAGUCCACCCGCCCAGAUGUGUCCGUCACCCCAGGCGAGGCUACCAACCCAGGUGGGGACACCAGCUCCUCUGGUGCCACCAGCCCAGUCAGGUCCACCAGCCCAGGUGGGGCCAACACCCCAGGCGGGGACACCAGCCCAGGCAGGGACACCAGGAUCGGCGAGGAUACCAGCCCAGGCGGAACCAACAUGCCAGGCCAGGCCAACAGCCCAGACGGGGACACCAGCCAUGACAGAAACCCUGUGGUCACAGCUAGGCUUUGGAAACAUUGAGAGUUUGCUCCUUCUGUUGACUCGCUGUGCUCUGGUGCUGCUCUUUUCCUUCUGGACAUUUAUCUCAUGCAGAGAGAUAAAGGACUACCGUGAGUUCCAACAAGAGCAGCUGGCAGAGCUGGGCAAAGGAUUGAAGAUGAUGGGUAAAGCCCUGGGAGAACUUGAGAAGACACUAAAUGCAGAAAGAGAACAUAAAAAUCAUCUUUCCAAGGAGCUGUCUGAGCUGAAGGCAGAGCUCAGAAUUUCUGAAAAGGAAACAGAGAGAUGGAAAAAGCUGUUUUUUCUAUUGUCCCGGGCACAACACCUUUUGAAGGCCUUCCCGGAAGAUGCAAAGGGGCACUGUGUGCAGGUGGAGCAGGGCCCUUAGAGGCAGGCCCAGGCCUGGGAGCUGGAGAGUUUCUUCCUCCCUGUGCACGCCCCCUAGAGGGGGAGAAGAGGGGUGGGGAGGGAGGGCAAAGCGGAGGCUAGGGUAGGGGUGCUGGGACAGAGACGUGGCCUGAAUUUCAUGAUGUAUGUAUAUUUUGAAUAAAUAAUUGAAUGUUGG
rnacentral:lncRNA from 1 species